CAGAGGACAGGCCCCUCCCUGUAAGCCCCUCACAGCACUUCUUGGAUUCCUUUAGAGAGAACUUGAUCAACAUGGCAACAGCUGAAUGGAAGGGAAUUUGGAAAGUGUCAUUGUAACUCUGGAUGGCUGUGUGCCUUCUUCAUUUCAGAGUUUAGUCCCUGACGGAAGCAGGAGACACAACCAGCAGACUCUGCCAUAGUCUUCGCAUAUAUAUCCCAUGUGUCGCCUCUAUCCUCAGUCCUUGGAAAGGUAUAAGAAGCAUGCUGUGAUAUUGAGUCAAUUGGUUGCCCAAUCACAGACAUCUUUCACUGACAGAGUAACAGGUGUGUGGGCUUUGAGCAGUCGCUACACCUUCCCUCUUCAGGCAUGAUGAGAGGAUUCCUGCAGCGUUUUGCAAGAGGGUCCACACUACCUUUAUGAGCUGUAACACUCACCGUGAAGGUCUGCAGCUUCACUCCUGAAGCCAGCGAGACCACGAACCCACCGGGAGGAACGAACAACUCCAGAUGCGCCGCCUUAAGAGCUGUAAUACUCACCACGAAGGUCUGCACCUUCACUGCUGAGCAAGCGAGACCACGAACCCACCAGAAGAAAGAAACUCCUAACACAUCCGAACAUCAGAAGGAAGAAACUCCAGACGUGCCAUCUUAAGAGCUGUAACACUCACCGUGAAGGUCUGCAGCUUCAUUGUUGAAGUCAGUGAGACCAAGAACCCACCAAUUCCGGACACAGAAGGACGAGGAAUGAAGGGUGUUCCGGUGGGUACAUGUUGGCUCCUUUGCUCAGCUCAAGUGACCUCUGAAGCCUGUUCUACCUUUCACAGUGGGAAGAGAGGAAAGGGUCACUAGAGUCAUGUGUAAAAUGUGGCUCCAUCUUCUCAAAUCAGGGAUGAAUGCCUGCCUAUUUCUGGAUAUGUCAGGGAAGGCAGACACAGAGAGUUAGAGAAAGGGAAAGAGAAUGAGACAGAGAGAGACAGAGAUAAGAAGGGGGAGAGGGAGUGAAAAAGAGAGAAGGAGAGGGUAAGGGAGAGGAAGGGAGGGAAAGGGGGAGAGAGAGAAAGAGGGAGGGAGAGAGAGAAACAGAGGAGACAGGGCUGAGAUACCAGACAGUGGAUUUAGAGUUCCUGGUUCCCACAAGGCUCUUUGUGUGAAUCAGAACAAGUUUUUCCCACUGGACAGCUGCAUCCCUAUGGGUCCAUGGCUUUCCCACUGGGCUGCAUCUUGAUAUGAAUUAGAAAAUGUCAUCUUUAAGUUGGAGAUUCUCCACCUCAGCACUGUGGACAUUUGGGCCAGAUAAUUCUGCUUUGGUGGGCUGUCCUGUGUAGAAUGUUUAUAGUAGCAUUCCUGGCCAUUACUCACUAGGUGCCAGUAGAAUGUAUAUCAAAUUGUGACAAUCAAAAAUGUGUUCAGGUAUUGCCAAGUGCCUCCUGGAAGGCAAAAUUGCUCCCUGUGAGAUCCGCUAACUUAAGUGAACAUAGCUGCGUGCAGGAGUGCAUGGUUUGGAGAAAGGAUUGUAGGUGGGUUUUUAGUCGUUCCCCAACGACUUUCUGGGCUCCAGUUGCUUCCUUGGCCAGGUACACUUGUGCAGUGCACAAUCUCCACAACUGUACAUAGCAGUCCUGCUGGUUCCUGUGCAUUCCUGUGUCAUGGCUGAAUCUCUUCCACUGGGUUCUCUGGGACACUCUUGAGUCCUUAAAGCAAAUGUGCCCUUUAUACAUUGUCUGUCUUGACUUUAGUUUUAUUUGUAGGUGAACAGCCAUUGUUCUCUUCUUAUCCCUCCAUCUCUGUUUGUGUUUUAUCAGAAAUUUCAAAAGAUGCUACUCUGUUUAUGUUAGCACAAGUAGCUACUGUGUGUGUUUCGAAACUUUUUGCAAGUGUGAAAGUGUUUGGUUUGAAAGGUGGUACCUGUAUUCAACACUCAUCAAAUCUCUUCUUCAAGGGCCUUUUCUUUUUUCUCUGACCUUUUAUUUUUGGACCAAACACCUCUAAGACACCAUAGAGUGUAUCAGUUUCCUUACAAAAAUGUGGCAUCGUUCACUUCAUUAACGCUGUUUGAUCUUUGACAAGUGAUAAAGGUGUGAUAUGAAACAUAAUUUCUCAUAACUUGAAGAUACUCCAAUUAGCAUAUAUGAGAUGGGAAAAAAUAAAGAGGGUAUUUUCUAAUUAAUUGAAAAUCAUGCUUAGAUUUAGAAUGGUGUUUCCCAAACUAUCAGGUCUGUAAGUUCACAAGAAAGAAUCACCACCAUUUUUAAGUAACAAAAAUAAAAUAAUAUUUUGAACA
rnacentral:lncRNA from 1 species